rnacentral:lncRNA from 1 species
AUGUGUGCCUUUUGGGAUUUGAGAAUAUGUGUUUGUAUACUUCUAUUAUUUCAGUAGUAAAUUUGAGAAAAUGAAUAUAAAAUUCUGAUGAGAAAUUUAGAAUGUCCUUUUUGUAUAGUUAUUAUAAUUGCCAUGACUUUGGCCAGGUGUAGCUAAACGAUAUUUCAGGCAAAGAACUAAUAGCAAAGCUUUUUACACAGUAAUUUCCUGGGUAAGGUUCAACAAAAUGAAAACUCAUCAGAAGCCCUGCUGGGAUUCCAUCAGCAAGCAUUUAUUUGUAGUUGCAUGUACACCUGCUUACAUAGUAAUAAUACAUUAGUGAGUUAAGUCACUAUGCCAAUGCAAAUUAGCUUUAUUGUGAAUCUAACAUUGGAAUCUAGCAGAUAUGCUAACCAGACAAUCGAAUCGCUACUAGGUUAUGAGUUGGAAAAAAAAUUCUAUAGAAUUUGCCCAUUUGUUUCUUUUGAUUAUAGAUAUCUUUUUAUGAAAAACUUUUCCUUCUCUAGCUUCUACCAUUUAGAUGAGGAAUUUAUAGUAUAUGCCUUGCUCCAUUAGUGCAGCAAUAUUGAGCAAUAUAAGCAUGCCAUCUGCAAUACGAUGUUUUAACCCAAGAGAUCCCGUGUUGCUAAAUUCAAACUUAAAAUCAACUCAGCAAAUAUUUAAAGGAACAACUCUGUCAGGCAUUAUGCUAGGUGCUAGAGAUAGGGGCAGAACCUUAAAGGUGAGCAGCAAUACCUCCUGAUUCAAGAGAAUUCUGAAACAGUAGUGGAGAUAAGAUAAACACUCGUAAUACUCUAUGGCCAAGCACAAAAUUUGAAAACCACAAAAAAGCCAUAAGUUGAUAGAGAAGAGGAGUAAUGAACCCAAAGUCACUGUAAUCAGGAAAGGAGAUGUCUUGUCAGAUAGACAAGAUGUCUUGUCUAAUAGGAUUUAAAUACGUUAGUGAAGAUGGAAGAAGAUCAGUCCUUUAAUACGGUGGUUCCCACAUGGAGUAAAGGGAAAAACCUGGGCAAGAGGAAAGCAUGUUUGAGUAAACAACCAGGAGUUACGUUUAACUGGAGUGUUUUAUGCUGGAUCUACAUGGAGGCAGGGCAAGAUAAGCCUAGAAAGGGAAAAUCAUAUAAAAAAGAAGCAGACUCACAGAUAAAGAGAAUAAACUAGUGGUUACCAGUGAGGGGAGGGGAGGGAAGAAGAGCAACACAGGGGUAGGGAAAGGGGGUAAUCAUGGGAUUAUAGGAAAUUAUAUUUGUGAAACUUUUGAAAAUUAUAAAGCACUAUAGAAUUUAAAGAAUCUUUCAUUCAAUUAAACAAAUCAAUUUAAAAAAAGCUUAUGUCAUGCAAGGCACUCAGGUUGAGAAAUUAUGAAUUCAUUCUGUAGACAACAGUUUUUUAUUGAGAUUUUUUUCUGAUUUUUUUUUUUUUUUAGUAAAGGGGUUAUGUGUUCAGAAUUUUUAGACUGUUAACUCAAAAUUUUGUAAGGACCCCUUUCUAGCCCAGAUAUACAUCAUUUCUUGCUGUAAAUAUUCUAGCUGUGUUUACUCAAAGAAACAUGAAAGAGAUUUAUACCAGCAUCAUCUGAAUUUGCUUAUUACAUGAAAUUAACCUUACCACUUAUUUUCUCACUCCUCUCUUUGGUGAUGUAUUGGUUUCCUAAGGCUGCUGUAUGAAGAACUACAAACUAGGUGGCUUUAAACAAUGGAAAUUUAUUCUCUCACAAUGUGGAGUCCAGAAGUCCAAAAUCAAGGUGUUGACAGGAUUGGUUCCUUGUGAAGGGCCUGAGAGAGAAUUUGUUCUGUGCCUCUCUUCUAGCGUCUGGUGACAACCAGCAAUCCUGGGCAUUCCUGAGCUUGUACUGCAUCAUUCCAAUCUCUGCCUCCAUCUUCACAUGGCAUUUUCCCCAGAUCUCUUUGUCCUAUGUCCAAAUGUUCCUCCUCUUCUUCUUUUUCUUUUUUUCUUUGUUUCUUUUUUUUUUUUUUUCUUUUUAGGGCCUCACUUGUGGCAUAUGGAAGUUCCCAGGCUAGGGGCUAAAUCAGAGAUACAACUGCCGGCCUAUGCCACAGCCACAGCAAAAUGCAAUUCUGCCGUGUCUGUGACCUACACCACAGCUCAUGGCAACUCUGGUCCUUAACCCACUGAGGGAGGCCAGGGGUUGAACCAGCAUCCUCACAGAUACUAGUUGGGUUCUUUACUACUGAGCCACAAUGGGAACGCCCCAAAUUUUCCUCUUCUUAUAAGGACAUCAAUUACAUUGGAUUAAGGCCCAUUCCAAAGACAGCAUCCAAACUUGAUUAAACCUGCAAAGACCGUAUUUUCAAAUAAAGUGACAUUCACAUGUGCUGAGGAUUAGUAUUUCAGAAUAUCUUUUUUUGGGAGGAGGCAAAAUUCAACCUAUUAUAGGUGGUUAAGCCAUAGAUACAUAGAUAGUUAGAUAAUAGAUGAUAGGUAGGUAGAUAGAUAGAUAUGUAGUAAAGAAUUAAUAUUCUUAUAAACAAGCCUCAGUUUUUAUCUAUACAACAGAUAUAAUAAAACUGCCCUCAUAUGAUUGCUGUGAGGAUGAAAUAUGUGAACGAAUCUAGCAUGAGGCAGAAUUAGCUAUAUGGUUGAUGCUUGUAUUAAUAACUCAGGUAACUAUUUUCAGGUAGUAGUUACCUAACUCAGGUAACUAUUUUCAGAAGUAGUUUCAGGAAAGGAUUUUCACUGUGUUCUAUAUAUCUAUACGAUUCUAAAUACCACAUGUCAUCAAUUUAAAACAAAGCUUUAAGUCUCAUGGAUAUGGCCAAAAGAAGUACAUGAUUCAGAAAAGGCAUUAGGUUGCACUAGAACUUUCUUUAGCCUUGGAGUAUUCUACUAGAGAACAAAUAUAUAGAAUACUUGCAAAGUUAAUGUCUGGGGAUUCUGUUUUCCCCCUCUGUAAUAGUCCUAACUGUAUUUACACCAUAAGGCAGCAUUAGAUUUUUGGCUAAUUGCUGAAUUAGAUAAAUCUGGUGGCUUACGGCUUUCUUCUAUUUUCUUCUCUCACUAUUGGAUGUUUGGCUUUUAACGUUCUGGACAAUCACCUGUACUUCCCACUUUUCUUUGCCAAUUGGCACCAGCACAUUCAAAGUUAAAUUUAAUGCAAAGACAUCAUCUGGCACAUUUCUCUAAUCUCAAAAAGGUAAAUUCCCAAACCUCAGUUGAAGUAUUUCUAUUUUAGCCUGAAUUUUCAAGAUAAUUGCCUCCUCAUGUCUCCACUUAAUUUGGCUUGUGCAGAUACAAUCACAUGAACAAAUACAUGUUAAUGGAAAGCCUUCUUAGCUGUCAGUGAGUUGGACAUCCAUUGGGGAUGGUAUAUGGGAGCUCUGGAAUUUAUAAUCCUUUCCACUCUGCCAUUAAUUAAAAGUGCCCCAGAGACAGAUUGGGAGUGACCCAGGGUGAAGGGGUUGAAGGUUAAGCCUUUUAGCUUUGAGCCUCCAGUUUGAAUCUGAUCUAAGCUGGUAAUAAAUAAGAGCUACUGCUAUUUGAUAUCAGUUUGGUGAAUCAUGUGAAAUGAAUUAGUAAUCUCAGGCUUGUUCUGGUGGACAGGUGUCCUCAUACAGUGGGAGCUGAUAGCCUUUGCAGAAGAACACAACAACCUAAAAAAGAUGGAAAUAAAAUGGCUUCACAAAUAUUCUCUUACCUUGCUAAGAUUGCUGUUCAGUAACAUGGAAAAGUAAGAAACCUUAGGAUUCCAUAUGCCCAGCUUGUAAAUGGCUAUGGGAAUAAAAGGGAUCAGGAUGGGCUUAAUAAGACCCAGAGAGUGGGUCAAAUGGGAAUCAGGUGGUGGGUCUAAGAGAAAUUUAAUAUCCUUGGCUUCUCAUUUUUUCCCCCUUUCUGUUUGGUUGUCAUGGGAAUCUGUAUUUGUGGAAGAAAUACUGACUGCAUUUGCCCAGGGCAGAUGUAUGUACCCUCUAGCCUUCAAAUUUAGCAUUACUAGGACAGAAGGAUUUGUGGCUGGAUAGAAUGAAGGCGAGUCAUACCGGUAAUUCUGGCAGGCAAAAUAAAACAUUGCAAGCAUUAAAAAAAAUUUUUUUUUUCCAAAAGAUAUCAUGUACUGAAUUGAAAUAAGAUCAAAACUUGUUUUACUAAACUGAGGAAGGCUAUUUAGAGCUUAGUUUAACUCAAAUUUUGUUAUUAGGAUUAAUCCAGUAGUACUUUCACCCAUCUUUUAAAUGUAUAUUGAGGAAGAACUGCAUUUUUUUUUUAAUAAUAGAAAAAAAAAAAUGGGGCAGCCCUGAGGAAUUAAGUGGAGGAAAAAGACAUCCAACCUUCAAUGUACUUAACUUUAUUUUUCUUUUUGUGAAAGAAAAUAUGAAUCAUUAAUAUCAACUACAUCUUGCUGGUUUUAGUAAGCUUCAACAGGCAAAAUGUACUAGUUCUUUCUGAAUCAGGUUUGUGAAGUUAUUUGUGCAUGUGUGUAUGUGGGUAUGUGAAGUACCAGCUUUGUGCAUAUACAAUAGUGCUAAAGAAAUCAUAAUGUUUUCCUUAGCACUUUUUAUCUGACAGAGUCUUUGAAAAUAAAUUCAUCAGAUUGUGGUGAGUAAUAUCUUUGGCUAAGAUCUAAACACUACAAACAUGAUGAACCUAUGAAUAUGUUUUCUUGAUUUUCUUCUUUAAAAUGUCUUAACUUGCUAUUGUUCCUCUUUGUAACUCAUCCCAAACCAAGUAAUUCCAUUUUGUUUCUGUUUGUUUAGUGAUUACAUCAUGUUGCCAUUAUAAAAGAGUCCCAUUACCUGAGUCUGGAACUUUUAAAAACUCCUUUUUCCGUCUCUUCAUCCCCCCAUCCUGGCAAACUGCUCUUUCAUUUCCUGCCAGGUAGAUAAUCUAAUAAAUGCUUUCACAUCAAAGGUUAAUACCUGAUUAUGGAUUAAAUAUGAAAGCUGAGCCACAUUGAAUAGUCUGUAUUUGUUUCUGACAUAGAAUAGUAGUUUCUUCAUAUGGUUCCGCCUAUGACUCCUUAAUUUGCAUUUAAGAACAAAACUGCAUUGGUUUCUCAUGGUAAAAUUAGGGGAUUAGAGUCAUGGCAGUCAGUGACAACAAUAGUUUGGGGAAUAGAAAUCCUUUACUGAGAGUUCCCAUCAUGGCUCAGUGGAAGGGAACCCAACUAGUAUCCUUGAGGACCCAGGUUCGAUCCACGGCCUUGCUCAGUGGGUUAAGGAUCCGGCCUUGGUUGCCAUGAGCUGUGGUGUGAGUCACAGACGUGGCUGUGGCAUAAGCCAGGAGCUACAGCACCGAUUCAACCCCUAUCCUGGGAACUUCCAUAGACUGAGAGUUCAGCCCUAAAAAGACACACACACACAC